UCCAUAUUUCCUUCAAAUCAUAUAUUUCCCUUUUCAUAAAUUUAUUUAAUUACAAAACAGUGAUAUUUUCUCUACAGAUUGGUGCAUAAAAUUAUUCUCAAAUAUUCACUCUGAUUUUUUUAUCCAUUCAGCAAUUUAAAACCAAAAACAAUAAAUUCAGAAUCUUAUAUAGUUUCUUUGAUUCCUCCAAAUAAAACGCACAAAAUCUUCGUUCCCUUUCAUCUCUUUUUCAGAGACUUCAAAAAUUAUUCAUAGGUACUCGUAGUUUUUUCGGUGUACUCGAUAUGUACACAAUAUCAUGAAGAAAUUGAUCUUUAUUGUUCGGGUUUGUCGGGUUUGAUUUGUUAGACAAUGAUUUGGAACUAUUUUCUCGCAUACAUCCUAUAUUAAGUGUAUAUUCUUUGUUGUUAGCACAACGCUUGCAAAUGUAUAUGAUUUAUUGUUAGUUCAUUGGUCUCAUUAUAUGGGUUCAUGUUCGUACGUAUAUAAUUUGCUGUUAGAUUGUUCUAUGUACUCAGGUUUGUUUUUCUUUGCUGUUAAUUAGCAUAUAGUAUUUGUAUAUGAGUUUAUUGUCUAUGAGAUUGUAAUAUGCAUGAGUCGAACAGUCAGUAUAAGCCUAGCGAUUUAAGGAAAAAUUGGAGAUUAAAAAAAAAUUAGCAUCUAUAUUACUAUAAAGAAGACCUUGCUUCUCUCCUAGAGUGUCCACAUGGGAUGCCAUGUCACAAAUUCGAGUAACCUUGCUGUGACAUCUGUCCCCUCCAAAAACGCAACGUUUCAGUAAUACAGUAACUUCAUGGGCUUCACUUGCGUGAUGCGUGUUUGGGCUUUGGUGUUUUAUUUUGUUUCUGGCCCGAUAGAGUGUUCGUCCUCUCUAACCCUAAUUUUGCUGCAGAUGAGAAACGAGCGUCCUCUUCAUUUAUCAUGCGACGCCGACCACAUGUCGUUUCCGCUUCUUCGCAUUGAUUGAAACGGUCUUAGUAAAUGCUUUGUGAUCAAUCCGAAUGGUUCUCUCCCCCCACUAUGUCAUCUUCAAUGCUUUUCCGAUCUGAAAGGCGGUGGUGUUUGGGUAUAAAUAUGGGCCAGGAACGUUUGAUGCGGUGGUAAACUCAGGGAGUGAAUAUGCUCUUAUUGGAUUGACAGGUACAUUUCGGCCGCUGCACACUACUUCUUCUUACGCCUCUUAAACGGUGUCUCAUGUAGCUGCAUCGGCGGUUUGCGUAUGCACUACCCAAUGUCAGCUGGAGAGAAGAAAAUCCAAGAGAGCCAUGUUGAAGCAGAUCACAUCGACAUUAUAGCUUUUGCCAAAUCUGCACGUAAUACUCUUAAGUCCUAUAUCAUACACAAAUUUAGAGACAUAAAAAGAGAAACAGGUGUAUGUUCCUAGAUUACCCAAGAAAGAAGGCUACAUGUACAAUUUUAUUCUGCAAAAGCUUCUUUAGGUGGUGGAUAUGAUGCACAGUCUGAACAAACUUCAGGAAAGUUGUCUUUAAGAAAACACUGAAGCUAAAUGCAAAGAGGAAAAACUAAUUGUGGCCAAAAUCAGCAUUGACUAAGUACACAACUCCUAGGAUUGGAUUGUAAUGAAGUAGCAUCUAUUUUGUAAAUAUGAAAUCACUCAGUUGUUAUGUGAUUUUAGUGUAGAAAGAUAUGAAAUAAACAAACGUAACCGCAACUAAGAAUUAUUUU